rnacentral:antisense_RNA from 1 species
UGUAGGAGCGAGCUUGCUCGCGAUAGCGGCAGGUCAGUCAACAUUCAUGCUGCUGACUAACCGCUAUCGCGAGCAAGCUCGCUCCCACA